GUUCGGGAAACCGGAGCUAAUACCGGAUAAUAUUUUGAACCGCAUGGUUCAAAAGUGAAAGACGGUCUUGCUGUCACUUAUAGAUGGAUCCGCGCUGCAUUAGCUAGUUGGUAAGGUAACGGCUUACCAAGGCAACGAUGCAUAGCCGACCUGAGAGGGUGAUCGGCCACACUGGAACUGAGACACGGUCCAG
rnacentral:rRNA from 1 species